UACGUAGGGGGCAAGCGUUGUCCGGAAUUAUUGGGCGUAAAGAGCUCGUAGGCGGCUCAGCAAGUCGGCUGUGAAAUCCCGAGGCUCAACCUCGGAACUGCAGUCGAUACUGCUGUGGCUAGAGUCUGGUAGAGGAGAAUGGAAUUCCCGGUGUAGCGGUGAAAUGCGCAGAUAUCGGGAGGAACACCAGUAGCGAAGGCGGUUCUCUGGGCCAGUACUGACGCUGAGGAGCGAAAGCGUGGGUAGCAAA
rnacentral:rRNA from 1 species